CCGGACGCCUGGCUGCCGGGGGAGGCAGAGCCCACGGGCUUGUGGGUAAGCUGUCCUGCUGCACAUCUGGACCCCCUCUCCCCUCAGAGAUCGUCCACACAAGCAAGGAAGCACAACAGAUUUGUGCAAAGCAAAGACAUUAUUCUGAAGCCUACACGGCUUCCUGCCUUUCAGAGUCGAUGAGUUCAGAGCUAUGAGGUUGGGGACGAGACAGGCGGCGCGAGGCAUUUCUACAUAGCAAAGUCACUUC